CGCUGGGUGGGGGUGGGGGGGCCGCUGCGCUGGCAGGAAACAGCCGGCCUGGGAAGGGCCAGCUCAAGAAAUGGAUCCUUGUUGUCCUUGUGGACAGGGCCGUGGUCUCUGUGGACCCCUCCAGCCUCACCUGGCAGACGCGGUCCCUCUUGUCACUGAGGACCGAGGGAGGCAGAACAUGUGACGGUGGGCUGAGUUGGUUUUUUUUCUUUUUUUAAGUUUAUUUAUUUUGAGAGAGAGGGAGAGACAGAGAAUACCAAGCAGGGGCUCGAACUCGAACUCAAAAACCGCGAGAGCAGAACCUGAGCUCAAAUCAAGAGUCAGACGCUUAACCAACCGAGCCCUCCAGGCGUCCGGUUUGUUUUGUUUGUUUUGUUGUUGAUGGAACCCUAGAGACCGCCAGCAAAUAUGGAUGGUACUGAAUUCAGGGAAGCGUCAGAGCUGGUGCAGAGAUGAGAAAAUCGCACCAUGAAAACGGAAAUGGAGCGUGCACAGGCCAGAACCUCUCCCACCCAGAGCCGGGACUGGGUGACUUUCGGGGCCCUUCUGGGCGGGGAGGUGGCCAACUCUGAACCUGUUUCCUCCGUGCGAGAGGACACGACCUCACCUAAUACCGGCGUGGCCCUGAGAGCCGUGGAGGACAGCGCACUGUCCCCGGCUCCCGGCUGAGAGGGGCACCUGGCCUCUGUGCCCCGGUCAGGAGGGCGGCCGGCCCGUAGCAACGCCCCAGGCAGGGCCUGACCGCGUGCUUUCCCUGGAGAGGGAGGGGGGCUCGGCGUCCACGGCCCCCGUUCUGGGCCCCUGCUUCCUGGGAGACCCGGGACGGCAGGAGGGCUGCGUGGGCUCACGGCUGCCUGAGUUGUGGCACCGUUUUAAAGACGUUUUCUCUGGUGUUUGCUCAUCGGUAACAUUCCUUGCGUCCCUGGGAAGCGACAGUGGACGGUUAACCCUGAAAGCAGGUUCUCUACUUGCGUUUGGGCCUUGUGAGCGGCAGGCCUGGGGGCUCCGCGCCAGCCUCUCCUUCCUCAGUGGCCGCCCGAGGGAGCUGCCAGCCGUGUCUGCGCUUCCCCGGGUGGUGGCCUCACCCAGUGGGACAGACGGCCUGGGCCCGUGCGCCUCUUGGACUUCCGGGGCGCUCCUGCGGGGGGGCGCUGGCUGUGCUCAGCUUUGCCAGGAACCGGGUCAGAUUCACGUGCCCGGGCUUGGCUUUUCAGGAAACCUGGGCUUUAUGACAUUUGAUUCAUAGGUUUGUGCUCUAUCAAUACCCACCUCUCCAACCUAGAAGCUCAGGGAAUAAAAAUGGGGAAACUGAAUUAACACAUUAUGUGUCACCAAGCCCAAAGAGAAAUUAGCGGAACACGCAAUUGGGCGUGGAGUGACCACCAAGUGUCCACUGUCAGCUGUGCAGACACCGCUUCGUGCUGGGAGUCGUGGUCACGUGCGGACGCAGACAUUUCUCUUCAGGAUAAAUCGAACUAAAGGGUAGCGCAGGAUGUGCUUGGCGUUUCCCGCUUAGCUGCAGGGCUUACUUUCACCGAAUUCACUCUGGACCAGUGACUUCACGCUGGCGGUGUGUCUGCGGGUGUUUUCUCCUGCUCUGCACUCCCCUGACCGCGGCGGGCUCCGAGCUGCCCCCCAGCCUGCUCCCCACCCUGUGGUCCUCGGGGGUGGCUCCGGGAAACAUUCGGUGACGUCCAGAGACUUUCUGCAGCCAUCACGAGCCACGGCGGCGGUGGUGCUGGCGUCUGGUGGGCAGACGCCCCACCGUGCGCUGGGCAGGGCGCCGUCCGGCCCCCAGUGUCCGCAGGGCCCAGGCGGGUGCCCCUGGCGUAGAGGACGCGUGUGAGGAAUCCUCCCGUGACCCCACCGUUCAGUUCUCCAUGCCUAAGCUGUGCUUUUCACAGAUCCGAGCGGCUGAGGAGUGCUCCGGAGUGAGCCCGGGGAGCACGGAGCACGCGGUGGGGUCCCCACAAGGAGGCUGCAUCUGCCCUCCUCCAAACCGGGCCGGCAGCCGCUCAGCAUCCCCUGCUCCGACCACUGGCAUCUGACCACCCGGGCGGCCACGGGCAACACACGAUCCACCGGCAAGCACCCUCCCUGUGCUGGGUGGCCGGAGGCCAACACUCAUUGUCAGGGGCCUCUGCACCCCCGUCCCCCUGUCCCCCUCUCUGCCCCUCUCUCCUCUCUCCCCCUUGUCCCCCCCUCCCCCUCCCCCUCCCUUUCCCUCUCUCCCCCUCCUCUCCGUCCUGUCUUCUUUAUUUCCUCGUGGGAGGUGCAUCCGAAGCCCGGAUGCUCAUCCACUUGGGGACCGCCCACUUUAUGCGGGGAAAUGCAGUGACCCAGCAGCAGUGUCAGCCUCUGUAUUUGCAGCACCACCUCCCACCGUUGGAUGGGCCUUAGCUCCUGAAUUCCUUGUCCCGACCUUGGCCUUGCCUGUUCUUGCUCACUGAACAGGACAAGAAAUUGGUGCGGUGACCCCAGGUCUAGAUCCACUUUUGUGGACACAAGGUCUCCAGAGUUUCUUUCAGGUCACUUCCAACGCCUGGCCCGGCACCCAGGAGGGAGACUUCAGGCUGCCCUUUGGACAAUCCCUUCCCCUUGGGAGCAGCAGGGCCUGUGACGAGUCGUGUCUUCAGCUCUGCUACUGGGGCUCAGAUUUUCAUAUUUAGGAGGCUGGCUCCCAGCGGUGUUGGAACGCCUGCCUCUCAGUGGCCAUCCCAGGGACCUUAUUCUAUGCCAGCGAUGGUCCUUUGCCCUGUCCUCUUCUGCUUUAGAACGGCUGCUGCUGGAUGACCCGAGGAGUCUCUCACAGGCGGACGCAGAGAGAGACGAGUGGAGCAGGAAGCCCCGCGGCGGGGAGCGGGCACCUGUGCCCACCUAGCGCACCACCAGAUACCAACCUUGGCCACCUUCUUCCUUCCAAGCACAAGGACGCUUUCCGGAGCAUCACGCCCUCGGUACCUGCCUCGCUCAGAACACCCCCUCGGGCUUGGGCUCGAGGCUGUUGAGUCCAGAAGCCCUGACCCCUGCAGACACGCCCCGCCUGCUUCCCUCCUGCUCACGUGAGCCUCGGGGGGGAGGGGUCAGUGGGACUCAGCCACAGCAGUCGUCCACGAAGCAAGCUUCGUACACGGCGGGACGUGCGCAGGGCUGCUCUUUGUCUACACUUGAAACACCGGGACUAAAUCGGGCUCCCAUUAAAGCUGGGCCACCUGGCUGACCCGAGUCCAGUGAGGACGGCACCUGGGCCUGAGCCGUGGGGACUCCAUCAGAGCGUCAGGCCACGUGGAGUUGCCUUAAAGCCCCGUGACCUUAACUGACCCGCACGGAGCCCAGAUCUCUUGGUCCAGCAGUCCCCAUCAGCCCAGACCCUAGAGUCCUUCUGGGACUUGCACCGGCUCUGUGGCGGCCUGCGCUACGGGACACGGCGUUCUUUAAGAACGGUUUCGCCAUCACUGCCCUUCCUAUGACGUCCUAAGUGCACUGUCUCAAGGAAGGUCAGGCGCGCUGCAGACACCUUGCAUCUCAUGCUAUUCUGGUUGCCAUGUGGCCACCGGGACUGUGAAAAACGAGGACAAAAAUUAAGAAAAAAUUCUUCUUUCUUUCCAGAUAGCUCGUAACUCUCAAAAACAACAAGGGUGAAGGGACUUAGUAAGAACAUCACGCCUGGGUCAGCCCUGUGCCCCACCCCCACUCCGUGAACACCCGAGUGCCUGGUUAAAGUUCCGUUUGCGGCCCCUGCUGUGAGAGCUUAAAAAGGCAAACGGAUCACAUUUGCCACGUCGCUGGUGUGGACGCUCGGAACCAGGAGUUUUAAAAUAUGCGCUUGUGGUAGAACAAUGAAGUGUGUGCAGAAUCUGUGUGUCGAGAACAACCACCGAAAUCUGACUGUUGACCUGAGUUUUGUUAGAGCGACAGCUGUUUGUGUGCGAUUAAAGUCUGAUCGCAAGACUAUUCUGCCAAUGGAUCUAAGACGGCAAAGAGACCUGCGAGCCCGAACCUCCCAGAAUGCCCUGUGCUCAUGGCUGCACUGAGCUAUGUACACCAAAACAAACAUUCUGUUUGGAUCUACACAGGAACUAUCACUGAUCACAGCCACAAUGGGGGUCAUAGGAUGUAUGUCCUAAUGUCAAAGCACAACUUAAUGUCUCUCCAUUAAAACACAUAAUCCUGGACACCAUAAGACUUUGCACUGGCACACGUCCCAGGAACGUGACAGCCUCGUGUCUGCCCUGAUCUGUCCCUCCGCAAGACAUGCACCUGUUACAGUGUCGUCUUCCCGCCCAUCUAAAACCCCCGUCCUGAGACCGGGUGGGAGCAAUGGAACUCAUCAAACCCACGACUGAAGUGUCAUCGAUUCGUUAUUGUUAAACGGAUGCCUGCAUCAGAGUGCAUGUUACUACACGUUGUGAUCUGAGACUGGUGAACCGCUGUGGCUUCUGCCCCCCUGGCGACACGUCAGUGAGGUGCGGGGCGGAUUCCACGCACACGAGCAUUUCUUCCUGGGGACCCCAAGGUGCUGCCCAGGCGCCCUUGCCGGGUAGCGGGUGGCUAAGCCCCUGACCCCACAGGGCCAGCCCUUCGCCGUCUACCUGGGGGUGACGCCGCCCUGAGCGGUAACACACCCUGGGUGCGGCAGCCUCUGUGACCUUGUGCCCAGCGUCCCCCCUCGCUGUGCUGGCAGAAAGACCCAGCUCAUCUCCUGUGAAUCAGCUUACAGCAAAAAAUAUCUGAAGGUGUCUCAGGCUCUCUCAUUCUGGUA